rnacentral:misc_RNA from 1 species
AAUACUUGUUAAAAUCAUAGCAACAAAUCUUGUUAGAUAUACAAGGCAUUGGUUUAGUUAUUAUUUAGUUAAAUAGAUGUGAAGUGAUUAACGUACAUAUUUCAAAGAUGGAAACAGAUUUUCUUUUCGAGAAUCACAAAAAAGGGAAUAAUCAAAAGGGCAAAGCGAAACUAAUACACAUUUACAUCAACACUGAAACUACAAACCCUGAAGCUGGUUUUUAGAAUCUGAAAUUUGUGCACUGCUUUUAUUCAGUAUUGAACUAAUCCACCAAUGCUACUACCUUUGGAGGCAAAUCCUGCAGCCAUGAAUAAAGCAUAGGACUCCUUCAAGUUGAACCGGGAACCCUUCUUAACCUUAUUAGAAGAGAUCUUCCUCUUCACAGCACUUUUAGCCACCUGCAAACGUCCUCUCACCGGUGUCCGUUUCUCCUCAGACGUCUCUGCCGGCUCCGGCUCUUCUUUGAUGGUUGCUAGCUUUGUCUUGAGUAUUUCUUCUAUGUCCUUCCUGGACUCAGUUCGCAAGAUUGUCCUGCUUGUGCAAGGCACCGCACGCCACAUUCUGCGAUAGGCUCUCCUCAUUUUUGCCUCGAGGGAAAAAACAUUGAGAAGGCAACUAACCAUAUAUAUCUUGUGAACUUUGUGUAAUCAGAUACCUUCCUGAAAUGAUGAGUAUGAAGCAGUCUAGUGCUUCUUUUUGUAUACUGAGGAAGAGGGUUAAGGAAUAAAAGGUAGGCACACAGAGUUG